UGUAACUAGGGUAGGUUUUAUGUGGAGUUAAGAGUUAAAUGAGUUGUUUCCCUUUGACCUAGUUGUAAGAGAUGUUUCCUUUUGACCUCUGUUUUAGUUGCCGCCAAAACUGGUCACAUGACCAGAGCUCUUCUGUUUUGGAGGUUGUUUUUAGUUAGACAUGUUGAAAGGCAGUUUGCCGGUAUUUUUAUAGGAGGAUUUCAUGCACAGAUCACACAGUGAGACAGGGUGGAGUGAAGCAGAGAACAGGGCAGUUUGUACACCUGAUUCCAUAAAUUGGGUGUCGUCUUCAUGUUAUCAUCGUCAUCUCUGGCUUUGUAUUAACUCGGUAACUGAUGUCACGUGUCUUAAUAUAAAUAAAGAAGAAAAACCGAACCCAGCCUUGGGUGUUUAUAUACUAACUUUUAAUACAUAAAUAGCCAAUGGUUACAUAUGUAA